rnacentral:rRNA from 1 species
UACGUAGGGUGCGAGCGUUAAUCGGAAUUACUGGGCGUAAAGCGUGCGCAGGCGGUUUUUUAAGUCAGAUGUGAAAUCCCCGGGCUCAACCUGGGAAUGGCAUUUGGGACUGCAAGGCUGGAGUACGGCAGAGGAGACUGGAAUUCCUGGUGUAGCAGUGAAAUGCGUAGAGAUCAGGAGGAAUACCGAUGGCGAAGGCAGGUCUCUGGGCUGAUACUGACGCUCAUGCACGAAAGCGUGGGGAGCAAACAGG